rnacentral:rRNA from 1 species
ACGCUCGACACCUACGGGAGGCAGCAGUGGGGAAUAUUGCACAAUGGGGGAAACCCUGAUGCAGCAACGCCGCGUGAAGGAAGACGGUUUUCGGAUUGUAAACUUCUGUUCUUAGUGAAGAUAGUGACGGUAGCUAAGGAGCAAGCCACGGCUAACUACGUGCCCGCAGCCGCGGUAAUCUGAGGCGGGCUGGCAAGGC